UCCCUUCCGUCCUCUAGCGGUGUUCGCCCAUGAUUGUCCAAACGCAAUUCUUGUUCAAUUGUAAACUUCAAGAACUGUGUAUGGACAUCAGUGGCUGACAUUAGCGACACACCAACCUACAA
rnacentral:precursor_RNA from 8 species